rnacentral:rRNA from 1 species
GACUCUCGGCAACGGAUAUCUCGGCUCUCGCAUCGAUGAAGAACGUAGCGAAAUGCGAUACUUGGUGUGAAUUGCAGAAUCCCGKGAAUCAUCGAGUCUUUGAACGCAAGUUGCGCCCGAAGCCUUUCGGCCGAGGGCACGUCUGCCUGGGUGUCACGC